ensembl:lncRNA
GUCCACUCUUGGUCAGAGCCCAUGGUCAGCUUUCCCUGAGGCAUGGAGCUACUUGGAGCAGAGUGGAUAUGAGGACAAAUCUGGGCUCUGAUAGGAAAGAGGGAGGGGAGAAUGGAUGCUGGAUAGUCCCUCAGGUGCUGUGGGUCAGGUGUAGCUCAGAUCUUCAUUGCUCUCUGCUGCAUAUCAGAAGGAUAAGACUAAGAUAAAAACACUUGGCAAGAUGGGCUUUUUUCCCUUUCCAGAAAGUUUCCAGAGGAAGGCAUGCAUAUGUUGAGUCUUAGAGAAUGAAUAAGACUUGGCCAGGAGGUAGAUGGAAAAUUAUUCCAGAAUGUGGAAAUAGUAUGCACAAAGGCUGGAGACAUGAGAAGGCAUGUUGUGUUCUGGGAACUACAAGUCUUCAAUAUCUGUGGGCUGUUAUAGCUGGAAGACCGGUGAUCUGCAGCUGAACCUGGUGUGAUUCAGAUGAGGGUGGAGGUACCAGACCAUCAAUUCUCAAAGCCCAUUCCACUG